rnacentral:lncRNA from 1 species
CCUGAGUGGUAAAUGUGUGACUCAAUCAGUAUGAAUCGAACUGACUCUAAAAGCCUCCUGACCUUGCCUCUGGCCUUGCAGGAGACACGGCAACCACAAGGUUAAAAUCAGAAGCAAACAGGGGGCCAGUGUUUCUCCACAUGAGCACCUCAGGAUUCUCUCUCUUCUGGAGAUUGUCAACUGAGAGAAGAUUCCUGGGUGCCUUUCUCACGGGCCAAAGGAUGGCUUUGGAGACAACGUGAGUGGGGCAAACGCAGGAUGGGGUGGAAAGUGAGGGGGUGGUGCCAUCAGCCUCACACUCACGGUCACUCGUCUCCGCCGCACUGGUGCCACUACAGUCAACUCCCCAUCCUCAAAGUAGAGCCUCUCUUAAGACAAAUAUUCAGCCAACCAUUAAAUAGGAGGAUAGAAACCCAAUAAGUAAAGGAGACCUCAUAAAGCACUGGCAACGUUUCCCCAUGCCCAGAUGUUAAGGUGCUGGGAUCAUCUAGGAGAGGUGCACCUGAGGAGCCAGCAGAGCGGGGGCCUUACUACAGGCAGCAAGGAGUGCCGGGAAUCCUGGGUGACAGGCAAGCUAUCCCAACCCCAGUGGUAGCUGCUUCUAGGAGAACUGCACCCAGCUGGCUUUCAUUCGGAUUAGAAAAAAAGGGCCACACAGGCUCUUCCCCAAGAGAGGCUUGGGACCCAGGCCUCAUUUCCUGAACAUAUGGCCUAACUUGAGGCCAAUGCAUGUCCAGCUGAAGAUGACCCAGCUCAACUGGAAGCUGUCCAAGUGCUGAAUCCCACAAAGUAGCCAGGGAGAUUGUGCAUUUAUGUUUCUUUCUACGACGAUGCUUCAGUGUCUCCUGCGUGCCCUCUCAGCAGAACGCCACAGCUAGCUUAGGUUUCAGCCCUCAGGGAGGGACUC